rnacentral:rRNA from 1 species
UACGUAGGGUGCAAGCGUUGUCCGGAAUUAUUGGGCGUAAAGAGCUCGUAGGCGGCUUGUCGCGUCGGCUGUGAAAACCUGGGGCUCAACCCCGGGACUGCGUCCGAUACUUCCGAGCUGGAGGUAGGUAGGGGAGAUCGGAAUUCCUGGUGUAGCGGUGAAAUGCGCAGAUAUCAGGAGGAACACCGGUGGCGAAGGCGGAUCUCUGGGCCUUACCUGACGCUGAGGCGCGAAAGCUAGGGGAGCGAACAGG